GAUGAACGCUGGCGGCGUGCCUAAUACAUGCAAGUCGAGCGAACAGACGAGGAGCUUGCUCCUUCGACGUUAGCGGCGGACGGGUGAGUAACACGUAGGCAACCUACCUAUAAGACUGGGAUAACUUCGGGAAACCGGAGCUAAUACCGGAUAAUAUUUCGAACCGCAUGGUUCGAUAGUGAAAGAUGGCUUUGCUAUCACUUAUAGAUGGACCUGCGCCGUAUUAGCUAGUUGGUAAGGUAACGGCUUACCAAGGCAACGAUACGUAGCCGACCUGAGAGGGUGAUCGGCCACACUGGAACUGAGACACGGUCCAGACUCCUACGGGAGGCAGCAUUAGGGAAUCUUCCGCAAUGGGCGAAAGCCUGCCGGAGCAACGCCGCGUGAGUGAUGAAGGUCUUCGGAUCGUAAAACUCUGUUAUUAGGGAAGAACAAUCGUGUAAGUAACUGUGCACGUCUUGACGGUACCUAAUCAGAAAGCCACGGCUAACUACGUG
rnacentral:rRNA from 1 species